rnacentral:lncRNA from 1 species
CACAGCAACACAGGAUCUGAGCCACAUCUGUGACCUCUACCACAGCUCAUGGCAAUGCCCGAUCCCCAACCCACUGAGCAAGGCCAGGGAUCGAACCUGCAUCCUCAUGGAUCCUAUUCAGGUUUGUUACUGCUGAGCCACGUCAGGAACUCCCCACAUGUGCUUUCAAUAGUGAUGAUGGAAGAAUGUGUCUUUUGUGAGGACCGUGGGUUUUGGGAUCUAACUAGAAGACAAUAUGCAGUAAAACAUCUGAGGAUCUAUUACCUUGGGAAAAGCAUGCCUCUUCAUAAAACAUUUGCAAGCUGGUUUCUGCUUCUCCUCCUGCCCUAUCAGGCUUUUUACCUGUGCAUUACCUGUAGGAGAGGUUUUUGACCACUUUUAUUCUUAAAUAAUUAGGUAAAAAUAGUCCCACAUCAAAUGCCUCACUGACUCCUGUUUUUCUGGUCUUGGAAGAGUUAAGAAGUGACAUAUCUAAGAUAUCAAGUAAGAUUUGUACCACAUACGUAAAUUUGUGUCUUGAGACCACGCAAGAAGCUUGAGUUAGAGCUUGGCUAAAAAUUUAUGGCUUGUCAUUUCUCCCUUGAUGUUCUUCCCACAAUGCCAGUUGUAAUGUGUCCUCAAUGUAUUUCUUUCUUUAUUUUUUUUUUAAGGGAAGUAAACGUUACCUUCUUGCAGCAUUUUUAAUUUUAGAAAAACAGAAGGCGAGAGGUCCCAGAAUGGGGAUUUUCUUCUCCCAUAAUUUUCUCUCUUCCAUUUUAUCUUAUUUCACAACCUCUAUUUUCAUUAGUCAGCCUUUCUUGCAUGGGCAGGGCUCGCCAGCCAACCCUUCACCAGUUAGCAUUUUGCACCAUCGAUGCUCCCCGCUGAGCCCAAAAGCCUUGACCAGAUUGGGAAGGAGCUCAUGGGAGCAGCUUCCUUUGUUCUUCUCUUGGCUCCUCUCUCUGGCCAUGUGUUCUAGGCAGGACUUCCAAUUAGGGUGCCUGAAAGAAAUGAGCAGAUUGGAGGGGCCUUGUCCUCCUCCAUCGCCAGCAGGGCUGGGGGUGGCAUAAUAUGCUGCCCAAAACUCAUCAGGAAAGAUUUUUGCUUCCCAGGAAGGAAAAUGUGGCAUUUCAGCCACCAGGUAAAGACUGGGAGGAAUACAUGGAAAGUGUGGCAGAUCUGGGGCAGGGUGUGGACAUAUCAGGGUAUCCAUAUUUUUAUAAUAAGAUUAAUGUGUCCCAAAGCUGAAUAUAAGCUUCCCUUGUAACUGUUGCAUAUGUUGAAGUGCUGUAUCUCUAUGUGAGUUGUAAGGGCGUUAAGCCUCCUUUGACUUUCGUUAUACUCACAAUAGAUACUAUAUAUUUUAUACAUAUAUUUGUAGACCACAAUAUAAGUACCAUAAACACAGAGAUUUAAAAUUUGAUAUAAAGAUUUCUUUGCUGUUAUAUCCCAGUGUCAGACGGGAGCUUAGCAUAUUGUAAGCACUGGUGUGAUAUUUAGAAUAUUUAACUACUGGUUCAGCACAGGCAGUGACCAGUCCAGAGACUUUAAACCAUUGGUGUGCUGGGGUGACUAUCAGUCUUGAUAAACCCUCAGUGAAUGUUGGCUGAAUGACCUAAUGAGAGGUACUGUUCUCAUAUAAGUGCCAAAUAUGUAGUUUUGAAUUGACUUUUGAGAACUUACUUACUUAAAAUAGGUCAUAGCAAUUCACGCACACAUAAAAAUGUGUAUAUGACUAUACCUAUAUAUAUGUAAAAUUGUUAGCUUGUCUGAUAGUCAAAGAAAUACAAAUUCAGCAUAUUUACUUGUUGUUUUUCUCUGGACUUCCAAACCUAAGACAAAUAAUGUUUCUUGCACAGGCAUGAAGGUGGCGAGUAUGCAGCUUCUGAGUGCCAUUAUUCUACAGGUCACUCUGUCUAGCCUGAAAAGAGUUUCAUUUGUAUUGAAAUGAAACAGGGCUCACUGCUAAAAUAUUACUGGAUUUCAACGAUACUGCAAUUAAGUCAUAUAUUCCACAAACCUUGAAAAUAUGCUGAAGAGUAUUUAACUGAGUAAUUACUCUGGUAAAUUUUUAUUCUGAAAAAUUACUUUAUAAAUGCACAUGGCUGUAUAUAUUUAUAUUCAUUACAACAUUGUUAAAAUAGUAAAAAAAAAUGCUGAGCUACUUAAAAUGUUCAACAACAGGGAAUUGGUGAAGUAUAUUAUAUUGCAUUCAAACUAGGUUAUCCUGUGCAGCCCUGAUAAAUGUUCAAGUAGCACCUUAUAGGUAGGACUUUGUACUUUAUGAUAACAUGCAAAGGUAAUACAAACUGAUACUAAUUCACCCAAUUGCUAUAACAAAGGUGAUGUCUAGCUAACAAAGGAUCACAUUCUAUUCAGAAUCUAUUAAGUAAGGAGUUCCUGUUGUGGCUCAGCGGGUUAAGGAUCUGGUGUUGUCUCUGUGAGGAUGUGUGCUCAAUCCCUGGCCUUGCUCAGUGGGUUAAGGAUCUGGCAUUGCCACAAGCUACAGCAUAGGUCAUGGAGGCAGCUCAGAUCUGGUGCUGCCGUGGGUGUGGUAUAGGCCUGCCACUGCAGCUCCGAUUUGACCCCUAGCCUGGGAACUUCCAUGUACCGCAACUAUUUGGCCGCAGAAAGAAAAAAAAAUAUAUAUAUUAAGCAAAAAAAAAAAAAAAAGAAGGAAAAGAAAAAGGAAAAAAAAAAAAAAGAAAAA